CCAUAUUUCCACCAUAACCCCAUCAAACCCAAUCCAAAUGAAAGGCCAGAUCCCAACCCGUACCGACGACGAUUAAUCCUGGCCAUUCGUUGGUAGUUGAGGAUAAUUUCGGCACAAGCGCUAUAAAAAGGAAAGGCAGCCAGAGCUGUUGAGAGAUCAGAGUCGUCUACCAAUUAACACACAGAAGAGAUCUUUUUCAGGGAGAGAGAUGGCUUCAAUGAUUUCUUCCACCGCAGUUACCAGAGCCACCGUUGCUCAGGCGAGUUUGAUCGCUCCCUUCACCGGACUGAAGUCCGCCUCCGCCUUCCCCGUCACCACCAAGAAGGCCUCCAUCCCAAGCAACGGCAGCAGAGUGCAGUGCAUGAAGGUGAGGCCCUGUCUUCAAUUUUCGUUUCUUUAUGGGCUUACUUUGUGCUUAAAUUAAUUGUUAAUAUUGUGGAUCGUGGAAAUUUGAACAUAUGACUAUUUGGUCUGAAUGUUCUGAUAUCAUGUCAUAAUAAAUCAUUGUAUCCCAAUAACUUGAAUCGUUAAAAAAUAAUUAAUUAUGAAUCUUAUAUCUUUCUCUUAUAUGUUUCUUGGAUUGUUAUAUGUAUAGGUGUGGCCACCAAUUGGUUUGAAGAAGUACGAGACCCUGUCGUACCUUCCCCCGUUGUCACAGGAGGCGUUGGCUAAGGAGGUCGACUACCUUCUCCGCAUGGGAUGGGUUCCUUGCUUGGAAUUCGAGUUGGAGGUAU
rnacentral:lncRNA from 1 species